AUUGAACUCUGGCGGCAGGCCUAACACAUGCAAGUCGAACGAGUGGCGGACGGGUGAGUAAUGUCUGGGAAACUGCCCGAUGGAGGGGGAUAACUACUGGAAACGGUAGCUAAUCCCGCAUACCAUCGGAUGUGCCCCUAUGGGCUUAGCUAGUAGGUGGGGUAACGGCUCACCUAGGCGACGAUCCCUAGCUGGUCUGAGAGGAUGACCAGCAACACUGGAACUGAGAAACGGUCCAGACUCCUACGGGAGGCAGCAGUGGGGAAUAUUGCACAAUGGGCGCAAGCCUGAUGCAGCCAUGACGCGUGUAUGAAGAAGGCAUUCGGGUUGUAAAGUACUUUGAGCGAGGAGGCGUUACGGGCAGAAGAAGCACCGGCAAACUCCGUGCGAGCAGCAGCGGUAAUUG
rnacentral:rRNA from 1 species